GGCCAGCCGCCGCGGUAAUACGGAGGGUCCAAGCGUUAUCCGGAUUUAUUGGGUUUAAAGGGUCCGUAGGCGGGGUUUUAAGUCAGUGGUGAAAGCCUACAGCUCAACUGUAGAACUGCCAUUGAAACUGGAACUCUUGAAUGUGAUUGAAGUGGGCGGAAUAUGUCAUGUAGCGGUGAAAUGCUUAGAUAUGACAUAGAACACCGAUAGCGAAGGCAGCUCACUAAGUCAUGAUUGACGCUGAUGGACGAAAGCGUGGGGAGCGAACAGGAUUAGAUA
rnacentral:rRNA from 1 species